rnacentral:lncRNA from 1 species
AAUUGCCAAAAAAUAUAUUUUCCUUAUUUUCUAUUGUAAGUCUUGUAAUAUCUUGGUUGUGAGUUUAUUUGAGACUUUGGAGGUGUUAUUAAACCUAAUGUUCUCAAAUACAUAGAAGCAAAAAAAUGUAAGUAAGUACAUAUAUCUCUAUUUGCAUUGCCUUUUCCUUAGUCCUCGUUUCAGCCUGGUCUGGAUUAUUAAAUAGCACUAUCAGAUUUUAGGGACAAUCUUUUAGUCUUUGGUAUUUCUCAUUGUUAUUUAUGUGAUAUAUUCCCUCUCUUAAUAAGGCAGGCUGGUUAAAAGUACUGUACUCUUAAACAACAUUUUUAAAAAGUGCAGUAUUUGGAAGUUGUUGCAGUUGUUAUUAAUCAAACUGAACACUGGAUGGCAGUCCUAACUAAUAGUAGAAACAAAAGCUAUUGAUAAAAUAGGAAGAACUGAUUCAAAGUAAUAUUAUAGGCAGUUUAAGUUUCUUGCCAAUUUUAACAGCUAAAAAGUCAGCAAAGAACUUUGAACAAAGAUGGUGACAGGAUCAGAGUGUUAAAAAUAGCGCGCUUGCUUGGUGUAUCAUCAUGAAUAUGUGAAACUUGCUUUUCAGUUCACUUGACAAUGUUGUGCACAGGAAUCAAUUUCAGAAGUUUUACUCCAAUUAUGAUGCUCAGUCUUAGACCACAAAUUAGAUUCACCGACUUUAUUGUCAUCUAAAACUCAGUUUGGGCUGGCAAUAUAGCUAGCAUGAUUAUAGUCUGAUGUGAAUUUCCCUCAAUAACUUUUAAAUACGCUUGAUUCCCAAAAUGUAAUCCUGGUGGUUUCUUUUCUGCUUUCCUAUUCAUCUUCCAACUUUAUAACCAAGAUCCCUCAAAUGGAAAAGAAUAUAUUCGGAUAUCUGAUUUUUAUGUCUGUGAGGCAUGCCUUCUUUUGUAAUUGAGGUAAAAGACAUUGGAAUGAUUCAGAUAUUUCUAUGCAUGUUCAUAGUAUAGUGCUGGUGCAUGGAUAUUGGAGUAAAAUUGACCUAACCUUGAAUCCCAAGUUUGCCACUAAUAAGCUAGGUAAAUGGAGAUAAGUUAUUUAAUCUCUCUGGUCCUCAGUUUCCUCAACUAUAAAUAGAUGAAUCUAUAAAAUACCUUUUCAUAGAUUUGGUGUAUAUUUUAAAUAAAAUUAUGCAUGCAAAGUAUUUCAGAUGAUCUUGGACACAUAGUAUAUGCUCAAGAAGUGUUAGCUAUUAUUGUUGUCAUUAUUGCCAUGAUCAGCUUCACUCAUAUCACACAUUCAUUUUUAAUGAAUAUUUUGUUAAAUGAUCUCUUAGUUAACUAAAGGUAUUUGUUACUCAUUUAAAUUCUUAAUGAACUAAGAUUGAAUGGCAGUAAAUAUUAAAUUGAGAGGCAAUAACUUGGAAACCAAGGAAUUGAUAAUAAAGAAUAAAUUAUAUAUUUUUAUUUUUUCCUCCAUAUAUUGUUAAAUGAACUCACUGACUCUGCCUCUAAAUUAUGGGAGGAUGAACCAUUGUUAUAUUGCUGAAGAGCACGUUCUUCCCCUUUAAAACAGGUCUGUUUCAGAUACUUUUGUUAAAAUUCUUGUUUUUAGGAGGAGCAGUGAGAUUAAGUACAUUUUGUGUUGCUUACCAUUAAAGCCUUCUAGAUUGCAAAAGAGAAGCAUGGUAAAUUCUCACUUAUGAAUUUACUUAAUAUCUAAUUCAACAUACACAGAAACACAAAGAAAUAUCUUAAGGCUUUCAUUAGCCAUGCAACACAAUGUUAUUAAUAUCUUCUAAAAUACUAUUUCUGCUUAGAGUUGAUAUUAAGUUUACCAGAUUAAUGCAUCAAAAAUACACCUUCCUUUCCGACUCAACAUUAUCAUCGCCUUCUUAAUGAAGAAAAUAUUUUCUUCAUGCUAUGAAAACUUUUGUGGCAAUAAGUAAUUUUAGAUGAUUGUUUUAUAGUUCUGGAGUAAGAAACCAAGCAUUUAGUGAUACUUCAAAAAAUUCAAUCUAUGUUAAGUAAGGACUCUAGAAAUCACAUGGACUUUUUUUGUUCUAACAUUCAAAACAAGAAACCAAUAUCCCUGCUUCUAGGUUCAUGAGGAAUUCAUACAUAUACACACACAUAAUGAAUGUAUUUCCUGAGAGCAAACAUGUUAGCUCAAGUGUAUAGAUGCAUGAGAUAAUCAUAUGAAUAAAACAGACAAAAUUUUAAAAGUCCUGGCUUGAAUUGUAUUAAAAAUCUGGAAAGAUUAUUUAUUAUCCAGCUUACAGAAGUAGUGAGGGGUUAACCUAGAUUCUAGUGCCACCAACAUAAGGAAAAAAAAAACCAGACAUUUGAAAUCUAUAAUUACAAAAAGCCAGUUUUCAAUCCCUGCCUUGAAUAAGUUUCAGCUAACUUAAUACUUAUCUAGGAGUAAUUUAUUUUUGAACAAGAGUAGCUCUAAAAAAUUAGCAAAUGUUAAAUUGAAAUAUAACAAACACCUUGAAAAAUUUCAUGUAAGACUUGGUAAGGAAAUUAUUACCAAAUGUUUUUAUUUCUUUAGUGGGCCUCACUCACAAAUGCAAGAAAGCAAAUAAGGAACUAAAAUAUUUGCCUCUGUAAUAUAUGUUAAGUAUACAAGUAGUUGUUCCCAUGACAAACGCUUAUUUGUUACAAUCUCGUAGGAGUGGGCAAAGGACAUGAGAAGACAUUUCUCAAAAGAAGAUAUACAAAUGGCCAAAAACCAUGAGAAAAAAAUGCUCAACAUCAUGAAUUAUCAGAGAAAUGCAAAUUAAAACCACAGUGAAAUACCAAUUUAACCCAGCCAGAAGGGCCAUUGUUAAAAAGUAAAUACAUACAUAUAUAUAUAUAUAUAUAUAUAUAUAUAUAUAUAUAUAUAGGCAUGGAUAUGCUGAAAAAGGAAUGUUUAUAACACUGCUGGUAGGAAUGUAAAUUAGUACAGCCUCUAUGAAAAACAGUAUAGAGAUUUCUCAAAAAACUAAAUUUAGAUCUGCCAUUCAAUUCAGCAAUCCUACUACUGAGUAUCUACUCAAUGGAAAAGAAGUCACUUUAUCUAAAAGACAUCUGCACACAUAUAUUCAUUGCAACACAAGUCACAAUUGCAAAGAUAUGGAUUCAACCUAAAUGCCUAUCAGUUGAUGAGCAGGAAAGAAAAUGUGGGGAUUGAGAUGGCAGAUAGGAGGCAGGACCAACUUGCAGCUCCUGCUCGAUGGACAGAGCAGCAUGUGGAGACCCACAUCAUGAACCCACAUCCAAGAACUACCAUAGGAACAUACCAGGAAAGCUGAGAGAAUCCACAGACCCUUUGAAUGAACUGAAUCCCUUCUACAGGCUUCCUGACAUGUCAAAAAACUGAGUCUGCUUGCUUUCUUAGUUGGGAGGCUUGUGGUUUGGGGCAAGUUCUCAGCCCUGGUCACUGGCUGCCUGGAAAUAGACUUGGUGCUGUUGGUGGGGCAUGAUGGGAGUAAGGUUGACCUUUAGGACUGCAAGCUAUAUGGAAGCAGGAUGAGGCCUGUAACUGCCAGCUUUCCCCAACUUCCCUGGUAGCCUGUAUAACACAGAAGAGGCAGCCAUAAUCCCCCUGGGAAUUUAACUCCAUUGGACUGGGAACCACACUCCCAUCCCCCACAGCAGCCACAGCAAACUCUGCUCAAAGAAAGGCCGAGCUUAGACACACCUAUCCCUGCACCCACCUGGUGAUCUUUCUCUAUCUACCCUGAUAGCCAAAGAAAAAGGUCAUAAUCUCUUGGGAGUUCUAUGGCCCUGCCCACCAUCUGAGAAACCUGAAUACUUAAUCAUAUGUCCCUAGGGCAAGUUUGCAACCUCCUUUCAGGACUGCAGCUGAUUCCAUCUUGAAAGCGCCACCUCCUGGCUGGAGGUCAACCAACACAAAACCAGCAAACUAAACAAAACCACAACCAAGGAUCCUCAGAGAGUCCACUUCACUCCCCUCCUACCUCCACCAGAGCAGGUGCUGCAAGACAUGAGUAUAAACCAUAUCACGGGACUCUAUGCAGACACUCCUCCGUACCAGCCUGGAGCCCAGUAGCUGUGCUGGGAGGCUAGACCCAGAAGAGCAAAAAUAAUCACUACAGUUGAGCUCUCAGGAAGCCCCAUUCCUAGGGGAAAGGAGUGAAAACCACAUCAGCAGCCCUUGAGCCCCAGAUCUUCCCUCUGACAUAGUCUACCAAAAUGAGAGGAACAGAAAAACAAUUCUGGUAAUAUGACAAAACAAGGUCCUUUAACACCCACAAAAGAUCAUACCAGCUCACCAGCAAUGGAUCCAAACCAAGAUGAAAUCUCUGAAUUGCAAGAAAAAGAAUUCAGAAGGUGGAUUAUUAAGCUAAUCAAGGAGGCACCAGAGAAAGGUGAAGUCCAACUUUAAAAAAAUCAAAAACAUGAUACAGGAUAUGAAAGAAAAAUUAUUUAAUGAAACAGAGAGCAUAAAUAAAAAACAAUCACAACUUCUGGAAAUCGAGAACACACUUAGAGAAUUGCAAAACGCACUGGAAAGUCUUAGCAAUGGAAUCAAACAAGCAGAAGAAAGAACUUCAGAGCUCAAAGACAAGGGUUUUGAGUUAACCCAAUCUGUCAAAGACAAAGAAAAAAGAAUUUUUAAAAAUGAACCAAUCCUAGAAGAAGUUUGGGACAAUGUUAAAUAUGUAAGCCUAAGAAUAAUUGGAGUUCCUGAGGAAGAAGAAGAAUCUAAAAGUUUGGAAAACAUAUUUGAGGGAAUAAUCACAGAAAAGUUCCCUGGCCUCGCUGGAGAUCUAAAUAUCCAAAUAUAAGAAGCUCAAAGAACACAUGGGAAAUUAAUCUUAAAAGGAUCAUCACUGAGGCACAUACUAAUCAGGUUAUCUAAAGUCAAGACAAAGUAAAGAAUAUUAAGAGCUGUGAGGCGAAAGCAUCAGGUAACCUAUAAAGGAAAACCUAUCAGAUUAACAUCAGAUUUCUCAGCAGAAACCCUACAAUCUAGAAGGGAUUGGAGUCCUAUUUUUAGCCUCCUUAAACAAAACAAUUAUCAGCGGAGAAUUUUGUAUCCAGCAAAAUUAAGUUUCAUAAAUGAAGAAAACAUACAGUGUUUUUCAGACACACAUAUGCCGAGAGAAUUUGCCACUACCAAGCCAGCGCUACAAGAAUUGCUAAAAGGAGCUCUAAAUCUUGAAAUAAAUCCUGAAAAUACACCAAAAUAGAACCGCCUUAAAGCAUGCAUCUCAAGGGACCUAUGUAACAAUAACACAAUGACAAAAAUACAAGGUAUUCAGGAAACCAAUAGCACAAUGAAUAGAAUAGUACCUCACAUCUCAAUACUAAUAUUGAAUAUAAAUGGUCUAAAUGCUCCACUUGAAAGAUAGACAAUGGCAGAAUGGAUAAGAAUUCACCAACCAAGUAUCUUCUGUCUUCAAGAGACUCAUGUAACACGUAAGGACUGACAUAAACUUAAGGUAGAGGGGUCCAUGCAAAUGGACACCAAAAGCAAGCAAGAGUAGCUACUCUUCUAUCAGAUCAAACAAACUUUAAAGCAACAGCAGUUAAAAAAGACAAAUAGGGACAUUAUAAAAUGAUAAAAUGACUAUUCCAACAGGAAAAUAUCACCAUUCUAAGUAUGUAUGCACCUAACACUGGAGCUCCCAAAUUUAUAAAACAAUUACUACUAGACCUAAGAAAUGAGAUAGACAGCAACACAAUAAGAGUGAUGAACUUCAAUACUCCACUGACAGCACUAGACGGGUCAUCAAGACAGUCAAAAAAGAAAAAAUGGACUUAAACUAUACCUUACAACAAAUGGACUUAAUGGAUAUAUAUGGAACAUUCUACCCAACAAGUGCAGAAUAUACAGUCUAUUCAUCAGCACAUAGAACAUUCUCUAAGAUAGACAAUAUGAUAGGCCACAAAACAAAUCUCAAUAAAUUCAAGAAAACCAAAAUUAUAUCAGGUACUCUCUCAGACCACAGUGGACUAAAAUUGGAAAUCAACUCUAAAAGGAACCCACAAAACCAUACAAAUGCAUGAAAAUUAAAUAACCUGCUCCUAAAUGAUCAUUUGAAAAGCACAAACAGACAAUCUAAGAUCAAUCCUCAUGGAACUGGAGAAGCAAGAACAAACUAAAGCCAAACCCAGUGGAAGAAAAGAAAUAACAAAGAUAAGAGCAGAACUAAAUAAAAUAGAAACAACAACAACAACAAAAAACCCACAAAAGAUAAAUAAAAGAAAAAGUUAGUUCCUUGAAAAGAUAAAUAAAAUUGAUUGACCAUUAGUGAGAUUAACCAAGAAAAGAAGAGAGAAGAUCAAAAUAAGCUUAAAUAGAAAUGAAAUGAGAGAUAUUACAACUGAUACCACAGAAACACAAAAGAUUAUCCAAGGCUUCUACGAACACCUUUAUGCAUAUGAACUAGAAAACCUAGAGGAGAUGUGUAAAUUCCUGGAAAUAUACAAUCCUCCUAGAUUAAACCAGGAAGAUAUAGAAUCUCUGCACAGACCAUAAUAAACAUUGAGAUUGAAAUGGUAAUAAAAAUUUGCCAACAAAAAAGAGUCCAGGACUAGACAGAUUCACAGCUGAAUUCUAUCAGACAUACACAGAAGAAUUGGUGCCAAUCCUGCUGACACUAUUCCAAAAGAUGGAGAAAGGGGGAAUUUUCCCUUAAUCAUUCUAAGAAACCAGUAGCACCCUAAUACCAAAACCAGGAAAAGAAAUAACAAAAAAAGAAAACUACAGACCAAUAUUACGGAUAAACAUUGAUGCAAAAAUUCUCAACAAAAUACUAGAGAAACAAGUCCAACAGCAUAUUAAAAAGAUAAUUCACCAUAAUCAAGUGUUUUUUUUUUUUAACAGGGAUGCAGGGAUGGUUUAACAUACGUAAGUCAAUAAAGGUGAUACACCACAUGAACAGAAUUAAAAUUAAAAAAUCACAUGAUCAUCUCAAUAGAUACAGAAAAAGCGUUUGAAAAAAAUCAAGCAUCACUUUAGGAUUAAAAACCUCAGCAAAAUUGGCAUAGAAGGGACAUAACUUAAGGUAAUAAGAGCCAUCUAUAACACACCCACAGCCAACAUUAUACUGAAUUGGGAAAAGUUGAAAGCAUUUCCUCUGAGAACUGGAACAAGGCAAGAAUGCCCACUCUCACCACUUAUAUUCAAUAUAGUACUGGAAGUCCUAGCCAGAGCAAUCAGACAAGAGAAAGAAAUAAAAGGCAAUCAAACUGGUAUAGAGGAAGUCAAAUUGUCACUGUUUGCUGAGGAUAUGAUUGUAUACCUAGAAAACCCAAAAAACUCAUCCAAAAAGCUCCUAGAACUGGUAAAUGAAUUCAGCAAAGUUUCAGGAUACAAAAUUUAUUUGCAUAAGUUAGUAGCUCUGCUAUACACAACAUUGACCAAUCUGAGAAUCAAAUCAAGAACUAAACUCCUUUCACAAUAGCUGCAAAAAAGAAAAAUGAAAUAAAAUAUUUAGGAAUAUGCCUAUGCAAGGACAGGAAAGAUGUCUACAAAGUAAACUACAAAACGCUGCUGAAAGAAAUCAUAGGUGACACAAACAAAUGGAAACACAUCCCAUGCUCAUGGAUGGGUAGAAACAAUAUUGUGAAAAUGACCAUACUGCUAAAAGCAAUCUACAAAUUCCAUGCAAUUCCCAUCAAAACACCACCAUCAUUUUUAAAAGAACUAUAAAAAAAAAUCCUAAAAUUCACAUGGAACCAAAAAAGUAGCCUGCAUAUCCAAAGCAAGACUAAGCGAAAAAAAAAAAAAAAGGAAGAAAGAAAGAAAGAAAAAAUCUGGAGGCAUUAUAUUACCUGACUUCAGACUUUACUAUAAGGCUAUUGUCACCAAAACAGCAUGGUACUGGUAUAAAAACAGGCACAUCAACCAGUGGAACACAAUAGAGAUCUCUGAAAUAAACCCAAAUACUCACAGCUAACAUCUAUUUGACAAAGCCAACAAAAACAUGAAGUGGGAAAAGGACAACCUAUUCAACAAAUGGUGCAGGGAUAAUUGGCAUGCUACAUGUAGAAGAAUAAAAUUGAAUCCUCAUCUAUCAUCCUAUACAAAAUUCAACUCAAGAUGGAUAAAAGACCUAAAUCUAAGACCUGAAAUCAUAAAUAUUCUACAAGAUAACUUUGAGAAUACCCUUCUCGACAUCGGUUUAGGCAAAGACUUCAUGACCAAGAUCCCAAAAGCAAAUGCAACAAAAACAAAGAUAAAUAGAUAAGACUUCAUUAAACUAAAAAGUUUCUGCACAGCAAAAGAAAUAAUCCACAGUGUAGUGUAAACAGACAACUCACAGAGUGGAAGAAAAUCUUCACAAUCUGUACAUCCUACAAAAAACUAAUAUCCAGAAUCUACAAAAAGAUCAAAUGAAUCAGCAAGACAGAAACAAAGAAUCCCAUCAAAAUGUGGGCUACAGACAUGAAUAGACAAUUCUCAAAAGAAGAUAAUACAAAUGGCCAACAAGUAUAUGGAAAAAUGCUCAAGAUCACUAAUGAUCAGAGAAAUGCAAAUAAAAACCUCAAUGUAAUACCACCUAACUGCUGCAAGAAUGGCCAUAAUCAAAAAGUAAAAAUAAUAGAUGUUGGCGGGGAUGUGGUGAAAAGGGAACACUUUUAGGCUGUAGGUGGGAAUGUAACCUAGUACAACCGUGAUAAAAAACAGUGUGGAGAUUCCUUAAAGAACUAAAAGUAGAUCUACCAUUUGAUCCAGCAGUCCCACCACUAGGUAUGUACCCAGAGGAAAAGAAGUCAGUAUACGAAAAAGAUACUUGCACACGUAUGUUUAUAGCAGUACAAUUCGCAAUUGCAAAAAUAUGGAACCAACCCAAAUGUCCAUCAGUCAAAGAGUGAAUAAAUAAAUAAAGAAAAUGUGGUGUGUGUAUAUAUAUAUAUAUAUACACACACACAAACACACACACACAUAUAUAUAUACACACACCAUAUAUACACAAUGUGGUAUGUGUGUAUAUAUAUAUAUAUAUAUAUAUAUACACACACCACAUUUUGUUAGUAUUCAUAUAUAUAUAUAUAUAUACACACACACAUCAUAUGUACACAAUGUGGUAUGUGUGUGUAUAUAUAUAUAUAACAUUUUGUUAGCAUUCAUACACACACACACACACACACACACACACACACACACAAUGUAAUACUACUCAGCCAUAAAAAGGAACAAAGUAAUGGCAUUCUGAGCAACCUGGAUGGAACUGGUGACUAUUAUUCUAAGUGAAGUAACUCAGGAAUGAAAAACCAAAUAUCAUAUGUUCUGACUCAUAUGUGGAAGCUAAACUAUGAGAACCCAAAUGCAUAAGAAUGAUACAUUGGAAUUUGGAGACUCGGGAAAGGGUGGGGGUGGUGACGGAUAAAGCACAACACAUUGGGUACAGUGUACACUGCUCAGGUGAUGAGUGCACCAAAAUCUCAGAAAUCACCACUAAAGAACUUAUUCAUGUAACAAAACACCACCUGUUCCUCCAAAACAUACUGAAGUAAAAAAUAUAAAAAUAAUAAAAUGUGGUGAAUACUAUAGAAUGCUAUUCAGCCUGAAGAAUGUAUUUUGCAGCAACUUGAAUGGAACUGAAGGCCAUUAUUCUAAGUGACGUAACUUAAGAAUUGAAAACCAAAUAUCUUUUGUCUCACUUAUAAGUGGGAGCUAAGCUGUGGGUAUGCAAAGUCAUACAGAGUAGCAUAAUGAUCAUUGGAGACUCAGAAUGCAGAAAGGUAAGAGAUGGCUAAGGGUGAAAAAUAACAUAUUGGGUACAAAGUACACUACUUGAGUGAUGCGUGUGCUAAAAUCCUAGACUUCUCUACUAUACAAUUCACCCGUGUAACCAAAAUCCACUUGUACCUCUAAAGCUAUUGAAAUAAAAAAAAUUAAAAAACAGUAUUCCUAUAUGUGUUUGAAUGAAUACUUUUUAUCUUGUUGUGGUAAAGUAGUAAAUGGAAUUUGAAUUUCUUUUUCUCAGUGUGGGUGCACACCUGUGUGUGUGUGUGUGCGCGCGCGUGUGUGUGUGUCUGUGUGUAGGGAAGAGUAAACAUACUAUAUUAGGGGAUAUGACAAAUGUUCCAUAGAUGCUAUAUAUGUUUAAACGACCCUUUUAUUUACCUUUAAGUACAGUUCUUAAAAGCUAGAAAAACACCUAUUACUAUCAUUUUUUGUUCUGAAGAUUACAUCAAAGGAACAUUCCAAUGAAAUUAGUCUUAAGGGAAAAUCGAAGACUUUUAAGAAGACAAACCAAAGAUUUUAAGAAGACAGAGCAGUUUUACUACAAUGUGUUUGUUGAUUUUAAUCCUCUGACUUUUCAAGUAUACUUAUUUUAUCUCAAAUAUUAAGGCCUUCAGAGUUUCCAACAUACAAAUAAGCAGAAUUACUAUUAAAUAUAGUGUCCAAAAUGGGACAUUUUUGAGAGUGAAUAGAGACUCAAUUAAUCAUAGUGGUAGAAUAACAUGCAAAGGCGAGACCUCCCCCAAGCAAACUAGGAAAUAUGUUUACUACAACUAAAAGCUGGUGAUAAUUAAAUUAACGACUAAUUUACUAUUUCACUCGUUUUUCUCUCCCAGUAAGCCAAUUUUAAUACAGGGAUGUCUGUCUUUUUCAAGUCCAUGACAAGCUAGAUCACAUGCUCAUUUUGAGUGGGAGUCAGGUUUUAAACUUUCUUUGUCCUCAUAUCCUCUAAGUGAGUACAGCGGGAUAAGAACUGAAUAAUACCAAUAAUGACAAGUACUUGCUAUGGGUCAAGCACUGUUCUAAGCACUUUAUAAGUACAAACAAAUUUUAGACCCUCCAUAGUCCUGUGAGGUACUAAUGUUAUCAUCUCCACCUUAAAAUAAAUAAACUGAAAAAGAGCUGUUAACUUGCCCAAGCUUACACAGCACUAGAAUUCACACUCUCUCGUCUCCUCUCCUGCUUUUAUUCUCCUCUGCUUAUGUCCCUGUCUCCUUCUUCCUCUGUUUCUGCUUUCUUCUUCCCUUUUUUCUUCCUUUCUUGUAUCUCUUCUGUCUCUUUUAUUUAUUCCUCCUUCUCUUCUCUAAUCUCUUAUGUUUAUGUUUUAUGGUAUAGCCCAUUUUGUGAAAAGGUUCUACUACUCAAGAAUAAAAAGGUGUAUAAACCACUGGAUUUUCUGUUCUCUGUAUUUCUAGUCCUUAAAUAUUUCAAUGAAUAUCAUUUACUGACUAUUAUGUAGAAGAAUAUAUUCUAAAAUGUAGCACAACAUAAAAAAUGAGAAUGAGUAGGAGAUUCCCUGAGUUAGAGGAAUGUGCAGUUUAAUAUAAGAAUCAAACAAUAUCUAAACAAGAAAAUAAGAUACAUUAUUAUUCCACAGAAGAGAGUCCAGUCUUACAGAGAUAUUCCCUGCAGUUGAACUCUUGGUAUAUGCUCAUUUAAAAUUGUGGAUGGGGUAUACUUGGAUUAGUUCCUAUCAAAGCAAAUUACUACCUAAGUAACUCUUAUUUCCUUACAGUAUAGAAGUUACAAGUACACCCUGUUCUCUCUACCCUUCUCAUUCUUGGCCAAUCUUCCAAGAUUCACCCAGUAAAUAUUUAGUACCCUGUCUAGGUCAGGAGUAAUACUGGGAUUCAUCACAUUUACCAAGCUUUUUGAAAUUAUGUGUUUACUCAUUUUUCUCUCCCAGUAAGCCAGUUUUAAUCCAGGGAUGUCUGGAUGGGUGGGUCUGUGUGAUGACACUUUGUGAGAUUAUAUGCAACACUUUAUGUCUUUGAACAUAUAAUAUGUCAUUUUCUGGGCAGAGAUUCAAUAUACUUCACCAGAAUUUCAAAAGGAGCCAUGUGACAUAAGAAGUACCUCCAUCAUAAUUUGGAUAUUGAGCACCUCAGUGGUUAAGAUCAUAAACCCUAGAUUUAGCCCAAUCACCUAUAAAAUAUGUAAUACAUGGUAAAUGACACAAUUAUUUAGCUUGAGUUUCCUCUCUGGUUUAUUGUGAAGACUAAAUGAAGUGAUUUGUGUAAAUCAGUUAGUAUAGUGUCAGGCACUUAGUAUAUGCCUGAUAAACGUUAAGGAAAAAUACAGUGUUUUUCAUGUAGUAAGCAUUCAAAUAACAAAUACGUAAUGUGAGCAUCUCCUUAAGGCAGAGUUCCUCAACCUUGGCACUAUUGACACUUUGAUCCAGAUAAUUAUUUGCUAUGAUGGGCUGUAUCAUAGGAUGUUUAGUAGUAUCCUUGACCUACUAGAUGCCAGUAGCACGCCUCUCUCAGUUAUGGCAACCAAAAUGUCUCCAGACAUCGUCAGGUAUCCUCUGGGGGGCAAUCACCUCCUCACCUCUAAGAACAUGUUAAUAGAGUUGAGCAACAGGUUAUAAUACAAUUGUUUUUAUCGGUUUAAUAUAUCACAGUCAGAGGUAACAUACUGACCUAGUAGGUAGCAGAUCACUUUGUGUGGAGGGGACUGAUUUGAUUUCCAUUAAUUGACAUUCCCUAGAAAACUUCAACUACAUCCUCCAGGAGUCCAGAAGCCAUGGUUAAACGGGUAAGUUGAAGCAUUCGCCAAUGUGAAGACACCUUGAAAUAUCUUCUAUUAUUAGAGCAUAUCUAGGCACCUGCUAGGCAAAUAUAUGGCUCGCCCACCAUUACAGAAAACCAGAAUAAGCUAACAGACAUGAAAAACAACAACAAAAACAACAACAAAACUACUUCAAUCUUAGAAACAGUGUUUCUAAGGCAAAAUUAGAAGAACUUUUAUGUCAAAAUCAUUUAUUUCAACAAAAGAGGUAUGCUUAAAAUUUACUAAUCUUUCAUUCUAUCAGAGAAAUUACCAAAAGGCUGUUAUGGAACAUAAAGAUGCUAUGGAAAUAUCUGAAAUUUUGAAACAUGAAACAAACCCUGGAAUUCCUUGGUCCUAAAAUUUUACCCAAUGUCUUCUAGGUAAGGUAGUAUAUGGGUAGAUUAAUAUUUAACCUUAGGUAUUGAAAUGCAUUUUUACGAUUUGGUCAUGAUGAAGUGAGAAAGUAUGAUAUUUUAUAUUUUUGGUCUUUAGAAAACAUGCAGGAAAAAGUAGCUUCUCUUUUCAAGCCAGUCAGUGCACAAUGCUAACAUGAUACGAAUUCUAUUUUAUCAUAAGAUCUUAUAAAUAUAAUGAAGCACUUCUGUUUAAGGCGCUUGUCUCAAAAGCCAGGGGGUCUAUUUUUAAUUCUUAUAGGAUUUAAACUGUUCCUUAAUUUAUAUAAGAAAAUAUUUCACUAAUGAGAUAAAAAUGUUAAACCAACAGUUAAGCUGUUUGCCUACAAAAUUUAGUGUCUCUGUGUGUAAGAGCCAUUGAUGACUAGGAUUUCAAGGUCAUAUUGCAAAAGAGCAAUUUGUGAGAGAAAAUUAUUCUGAUCUUUUUCAAAGCUUCACUUAUUCCUUACCAUAAAAUGCAUUUUCACAGUUUACCAUUAAUCUUUAUUGGUUGCAGAAAACUGAUAGAAGGUCUGGUGUCACAUGCUGUGCUCUGUACCUGGGGAUUUAAAAUAUAGGAAUCUUGCUUUGAUUUAUGCGGAUGAUUAGACUUUUAUGUAAUUAUGAACAUAAUGUAUUUUCUUUUUAUAUAUUUUUAUGAAAAAUUCUGCAA